rnacentral:rRNA from 1 species
GAUGAACGCUGGCGGCGUGCCUAAUACAUGCAAGUCGAGCGAACGGACGAGAAGCUUGCUUCUCUGAUGUUAGCGGCGGACGGGUGAGUAACACGUGGAUAACCUACCUAUAAGACUGGGAUAACUUCGGGAAACCGUAGCUAAUACCGGAUAAUAUUUUGAACCGCAUGGUUCAAAAGUGAAAGACGGUCUUGCUGUCACUUAUAGAUGGAUCCGCGCUGCAUUAGCUAGUUGGUAAGGUAACGGCUUACCAAGGCAACGAUGCAUAGCCGACCUGAGAGGGUGAUCGGCCACACUGGAACUAAGACACGGUCCUGACUCCUACGGGAGGCAGCAGUAGGGAAUCUUCCGCAAUGGGCGAAAGCCUGACGGAGCCACGCCGCGCGCGUGAUGAAGGUCUUCGGAUCGUAAAACUCUGUUAUUAGGGAAGAACAUAUGUGUAAGUAACUGUGCACAUCUUGACGGUACCUAAUCAGAAAGCCACGGCUAACUACGUG